GCCUGGAUGGCUUAGUUGGUUAAGCAUCUGACUUUGGCUCAGGUCAUGAUCUCGUGGUUCGUGAGUUCGAGCCCCGCCUCGGGCU
rnacentral:tRNA from 1 species